rnacentral:lncRNA from 1 species
UGUUGUGGUUUUUUUCUUUGUUUUUUUUUUUUUUUCUGUGAUUGGACUCGAUGAUCUCAAAGGUCCCUUCCAACCACGAUUCUGUUAAAAUCUGAUUUCUUUUUCCAGCCCGCACGCUUCCUCCCUGCUACUCCGCCGACCUGCGCCCGGCCUCGGAGAGACUCGUCUCGGCCGUGGGCUGCACCGUGCUCCUCACCGUGCCGCCUCCCAGGGCCAGCCAAGGUGUCUUCUGGGAGUACAAAACCGGCCCUCAGGAAGGGGUCAUCCUCAGCUACGCCUUCGACAGAGCCCCCAACACCUCUCGCCCCUACGAGAACCGCACCCGGUUCAACGAGACCGACUUCUCGCUGCAGAUGGUGCUGCAGCAGGGGGACGGCCGGCUCUACCGCUUCAGGUCCGAGUCCGAGGCCACGGGCUGGUUCCAGCUCCAUGUUGUUGAACCCCUGUCCGAGCCAGAAAUCGUGGGCAACUCCUCAGUGAAGGCAGGAGCCAACACCAAACUGGUUUGCAACGUCCUGGAAGGGAAGGCAGACUUGUACUGGUGGAAGAAAAAUGGGGAGCUGCUGCUGGGAAGCGACCACAUCCAGUUUGUGGACAACAGCACCCUGUGCAUCCUGAAGGCCUCCAUGAACGACAGCGGGUACUACGCCUGCGUGGUGCGCAACCAAGUCAGCCAGAACGAGACCUCCUUCCUGCUCCACGUCCAGCAUGCUGCCAACGUGCUGUUGCCCGUGAUCCUGGCGUGCGUGGUGGUGGGCUCGCUCGCAGGUGUCUUGGUCUGGUGCAGAAGGGACCGCCCGUGUCGCAACAUCUGUAGGUAGAGCUUGACUGGCUGUGCCCUUCCUGCCUUCCCCCGAUGGUGGUGGAUGCUGCCUGGGGAGCGCUGGACCCCUGAUGCCAUCACAACCUCUUCUGGGCUCACCACUGAACUGCUCCAGCUGCCAAAGCCAACAACUAUUUGUAAAACACCGUCCAGAACUAUUUCUUUGUGGUCCUGCUCUUCCCCAGGGCCCCUUCCACGUCCCUGGGGGAGAGGUGGGCACGGCCAUGCCUGGAGACCCUGCUGCUGCUGUCCUCCAGACCUCCCUACCUCUCCUGCCUUCCUCCGGGGCGGGCCAAGAGCCUGUGGAUGGGCUGAGGGCUCUGGAAGGAGCCACCACCAUCCCCUCUGGACAAACACAUGGUCCUGGGGCUGCUGGGGGGCGUGCCGUGGUGCCAGCCCCUGUGUCCCCAGGGCUUGAGCCCCUCACCAUGGCCUGGGACUUGCCAGGGUGGCUCGGGGGCUGAGACCGUGGGCGUUCUGCUGGGUUUGGCCCUUGGAGGGAGGAAAAAGGGCAGGAUUUUGCUGUCGUGUGCCCUGGGGAGGGUGGGAGACGAGCGGGGCCGGUGGAAGGCGGCAGGGGAGGGGGGAGCAGCAACGUAGGUUUGUUUUAGGAAGGAAACCCCAAAGGAACCCCCGUGGCUGCGUUACAGCAGCACCAGAGCCUGGCGUGGGAGACCUAGGGAUGCUGCCGAGCCCAUCUCCUCUGUCCUCCAGCCUUGGGCUCCGAUGGGAUUUGGGGACAUCACUCCUCUCCUGUGUGUGCCAAUAGAAGCUUGUCCUUCCCCUCUGCCACUCCUGAGGUGAUGGUAGACUUGGUCUGCUUUGAUACGGCCAGGGCAGCCCCAACGCCAGCCCCUGGGCCCAUUACCUCCCCUCCCCUGCUGCUUCUGCAGAGCUCUUCUGGGCUUUGCUCCUCAAGGGAUUCUUAUUUUUUUUCCUAUAGUUGAAAUUAAUUAGCCUGGAGGCACGACUGGCCUCUUCACCCUGGAGAAAACUGGAUGCUCUCUCAGGAGUGCUCGACCUCACAAAGUGCCUUGUGAGCCUCAGGACGGGGCGUUUGCACCCAUCUUUCAUUCUGAUGGGGACACCCCCAGGUCCAGCACCCCAUCUGAGCUGGUCCCCAUGCUGGGGACAGGUGGUUUGGGUGCUCUGGUCGCUGCUGGAUGGUCCCUUCUCUCCCAGAGCAGGUGGCCUGGGGACUUCUCCUCAUUCCCAGCCAUGAAGUGAACGCUACGGGUGGAUGGUUCUCCUCCUUGGGUCUUGUUUGUGGACCUGCUUCUGCAGCAAAGGGCUUUCCUGGCUGGGGCAGGGGGUGUCUCCUUGGAGUUACCUCCUCUCAGUGGAGAAUAGAAGGGCAAUCAGGAGUCUCACGUUGUGUCCCACGGUGUGAGCAGUCCCUGAGCUGUCCUGCAUCUAUUUCUGGGGCAAAUCCAAAAAUAAUGGGAGAGUGAGCUGGCUUGUGGCUUGACCAUCUUGGCCAGUGCCUGCCCUCCCUGCUCGGGCAGACGGUGCAGCGGAGAUCAGUCCUGGGGAGAAAAUGGGGAUCUAAAAGCGCCACCAGCAACGGGACCUCUCUCAGCCUGGGAUUUCACGUUGCAAUUAAAGCACUAAAGGAAGCAGAGCAGUUUGGGCGGAAUAAACCAGAUUUGAACCUCA